CAGUGUUUCUGGAAGGAAAGGAAAACCAGGUCCUUGGUCUGAAAGGUAUUUCUCCUACACACUUUGGUUAGAGUUUUGCUGUCCUCUCUGUCUUCUGCUGAUAAACGGUUUGAGACCCUGAGAUUCCAAAACCACAGUAAUUUGUUUCUGAAGAGUAGUUAACUACAGGCUCCCUUCCUGGACGGAGGCAAUCAUGAAGCUUACCGCCUGCGCUUUUGCCGAGGAAUCAGUGAUGUCCAGCAUGUGAUGUUAAGCGAAGAACACAGUGCCUGUGUGAAUCUCUGAGCUGAUGUGUGACUGUCACAGAGAAGGACAUUGGUUCUCAGAAGGAGCUGACCCCCAAGUCAGCAUCAGCGUCACCCGCGCACAACCUGACCCUUCCCAGGAAAGGCUCUGAGGGAUGAGACUUCACAGUGUUUCAUCAUGCUUCUGGCUUGACUGAACUUGGACACAAAAGGACCAGAGAGGGAAGGAGGCUAUACAGCUUAUUCUAUGACCCCUCCUGUUCUGGGAGGCGUUAGAAAGAAAAGAAGGAAAGGGGUUUAGGGUAAGACUUGCAGGCCUGGGGUUACUGAAGCCACAUUGGAGAAAUACCCGGCGCAUUGCAACACUAGAGUUAGAAUAUUGGUUCUUCCCGCCCCAACCCUCCUCCACAAACCCCUGGAGCCUCUUAGGGGCUUACACCCUUGCACACAGUGUGGCUGUUCUGGGUAUGACUCUUAGAGGCGUACACCCUUGCACACAGUGUGGCUGUUCUGGGUAUGACUGUACUAACAUGUUUACACAGAAGGGCCAGCUGUUGCUCAGACAUUGUUUUCCCACAACUGGGAGAUUUUCGAAGGACUCUGGCAAGUUUUAUCUGCUUCCUGUAGAAAACGAGGAAGAGAGCUGGGAAAAGAAGACUGCUUAUAGACCCACUGUGAUCUAGUGAGCACACUCUACCAGAGCAGAGCGUGGCAGCACAAUCAUAGCCUGCUGACAGCACAAACUAAGGAGGCUCAUGGAAGAUAAAAGAGUUCUCACAGAAGGCUUUCUCUCUGCACAUACACAGAAAACAAGAAUCAAACUGCCAGGAAAGAAACAGCUGCAAUAGAAAAUUUAGACAAAAUAUCACUGCCGAAAUUACCCAUUCAGUACCCAUUGCUGAAAUUAAUGUGAAAGGCCGGUAGCUUUGAUUGGUGGUUUGCCUUUCACUCAGAUUUAUAGGUUUUGAGCUUAGGGACUUUAGUUGUAUGAAGAAUUCUGUACAGUUUAUUUCAUUGUCUUCAAUUAUGCUAAUUUUUAAUUCCACUUGAAUCUACUAAAUGUCUCUGUCCUGCGACUGCUAGUUUUUGUCUACUUGAUUUAAGCUAGAGUCACUGAAGAGGAAGGAGCCUGAACUGAGAAAAUGCCUUCUUAAGACGGGAGUGUAGGCAAGGCUGUAAGACAUUUUCCUAACUAGUGAUGGAUGUGGGAAGGCUCAGUCCAUUGAGAGUGAAGAUAGCUUGGCCAGGUGGUUCUGGACUCUCUAAGACACACUGAGCCAGCCAUGAGGUGAGAACCAGUAAGCAGCACUCCUCUAUGGCCCACCUUGUUUGAUUUCCUUCAACAUGGGCCAUAAUAUGGAAUUGUAAACCAAAUAAAGCUUUUCCUCCCAA
rnacentral:lncRNA from 1 species